AGAACAAACACCAGAAACUCCUUGUUCUGCCCCUGCUUUUUAAUCACCCAGCAUCACCCCGGCUGCAAAACAGCCUCUGCUGAUUUACCUGCUUGUUAAAGCACCCCACAGGCUGCAAGUGCGGUGUGCUAGGUGUCAAGUUCUAUUUAACGGUGCACAGGGAACCAUUCAUCUUCCCACGGUCGAAGCACAGAACAGCCUCUUGCUAACAGAACUCAUCCCUGCUGCUGCAAGAAGCCUCAUGGCCUGCAGGAAAACCUCAAGCUAAGAGUUCCAAAGCAAAAGCGGAAAACGCAUGAUUUGUACUCUUUAUAUUUGAGUGAAUUCUAGCUGCUAAACGCUGCCUACAUCUGAGGGCACGUUCUGAGGCUGGGGGGAAGGACACUCAACACCCACUGAGAGCAGGAGUGCAAAGAUGCCAGCCAAGAAGGCAAAGGUUAGAGCUGAACGCUGCCUCAGCUUCCUCCAGCAGCCAGCUGGGGGUCACCUUUCACCACGCUCUCUGGGACUCUGAGCCCCGAGUUACCGCAGCCGCCAGCUACAGCUGCUCCUUGCUGGCCCAAACUAUUUGAAGAGUCUUCAAAAUUCAGGGACCUGUUUUAUGACAGCCUCAAGAUCAAAUCAAUCUGUUCUGAAGGUGCUGAUCGUCCUGGUGUUUCUGCAGCUGUCAAAGAACAAUCCUGAACCGAGGCACUCGUCUGAUCAGACAGUGCUUCGGCACAGAUUUCUCUUUAGCUUGACACAUCAAGAUGAAGAGGAAUCGAUUCUUUCAAGCACCCUCUUAAGCAGGGAUCUAAUAAGCACUGUACAGUCCCACGUUACGGAUGGAACCAGCUGCAUCAACUUCCAGUACGACGGUGUUGGAAAAAGGUGCCUUUGGUGGUCAGGAGCACAACAGCUCUGGUGAUGUGUUAUUUAAGUGUGUUCUUACAUCUGAGUUUCCUCAUAGCAGCAUGUAGCUGAGGGGGUCCAAGUUUCCCAGGUAAGAUUUAUGUUUUUCCUCCUACCAAGCACCAGCUCAGUAUACAAAGCUCUGUUAAUAACACCCAAGCAUGUAGAUGUUAAACUGAAACUGCUUUUAAACCUAUUUGUUGUUACGAAAAUAGCUUAAUACACCAUCUUCACAGGGUAAAAAUUCACGUGGAAGUACAGAAAAACCCAGAAGCGCUUCCUGAGCUUCAGUUUACCAA
rnacentral:lncRNA from 1 species